rnacentral:rRNA from 1 species
GGGGAAUCUUGCGCAAUGGGCGAAAGCCUGACGCAGCGACGCCGCGUGAGCGAUGAAGGCCUUCGGGUUGUAAAGCUCUGUCAGAGGGGACGAUAAUGACGGUACCCUCAGAGGAAGCCCCGGCUAACUACGUGCCAGCAGCCGCGGUAAGACGUAGGGGGCGAGCGUUGUCCGGAAUUACUGGGCGUAAAGGGCGUGUAGGCGGCUUUGCAAGUCAGUGGUGAAACACCUGGGCUCAACCCAGGUAUUGCCGUUGAAACUGCAUCGCUUGAGGGUAGAAGAGGAGUGUGGAAUUCCCGGUGUAGCGGUGAAAUGCGUAGAGAUCGGGAGGAACACCAGUGGCGAAGGCGGCACUCUGGUCUACCCCUGACGCUGAGGCGCGAAAGCUAGGGGAGCAAAC